UACGGGGGGGUGCGAGCGUUUGUCCGGAAUCACUGGGCGUAAAGGGCGCGUAGGUGGUUUGAUAAGGGUGUGGUGAAAGUCCGGAGCUCAACUCCGGAUCUGCCGUGCCGACUGUCAAACUCGAGGGCUGUAGAGGCAGACGGAAUUCCGGGUGUAGCGGUGGAAUGCGUAGAGAUCGGCAGGAACACCCGUGGUGAAAACGGCCACCUAGCCCAUACCUGACGCUGAGGCGCGACAGCGUGGGGAGCGAACGGG
rnacentral:rRNA from 1 species